CAGCCGCCGCGGUAAUACGGAGGGUGCAAGCGUUGUUCGGAUUCACUGGGUAUAAAGGGUGCGCAGGCGGCCCGAUAAGUCAGGGGUGAAAUAUGACGGCUCAACCGUCAAACUGCCCCUGAAACUGUCAGGCUUGAGUUCGAGAGAGGUAGGUGGAAUUCCAGGUGUAGCGGUGAAAUGCGUAGAUAUCUGGAGGAACACCGGUGGCGAAGGCGGCCUACUGGCUCGAUACUGACGCUCAGGCACGAAAGCAUGGGGAGCGAACGGGAUUAGAUACCCCGGUAGUCCAUGCCGUAAACGAUGGGUACUAGGUGUUGGAGGAUUCUACCCCUUCAGUGCCGCAGCUAACGCAUUAAGUACCCCACCUGGGGAGUACGAUCGCAAGGUUGAAACUCAAAGGAAUUGACGGGGGCCCGCACAAGCGGUGGAGCAUGUGGUUUAAUUCGAUGCAACGCGAAGAACCUUACCUGGGCUUGACAUGCAGGGGACAGAUGUAGAAAUACAUCUUUCUUCGGACUCCUGUACAGGUGCUGCAUGGCUGUCGUCAGCUCGUGUCGUGAAAUGUUGGGUUAAGUCCCGCAACGAGCGCAACCCUUGUUCUUAGUUGCCAUCAGGUUAUGCUGGGGACUCUAGAGAGACUGCCGGUGACAAACCGGAGGAAGGUGGGGACGACGUCAAGUCAUCAUGGCCCUUACGUCCAGGGCUACACACGUGCUACAAUGGUCGGUACAAAGGGCAGCAAUACAGCGAUGUGGAGCGAAUCCCAAAAAGCCGGCCUCAGUUCGGAUCGUAGUCUGCAACUCGACUACGUGAAGUUGGAAUCGCUAGUAAUCGCGUAUCAGAACGAACGCGGUGAAUACGUUCCCGGGCCUUGUACACACCGCCCGUCAAGUCAACCGAGUUGGCUGCACCCCAAGUCGCUGAGCUAACCUCUUCGGAGGAGGGCAAGUGCCCAAGGUGUGGUUGGCGAGGGGGACUAAGUCGUAACAAGGUAACCGUA
rnacentral:rRNA from 1 species